CCAUUUUAUAUCGCAGCGAGAGAGAGAUAGAGAGAGACGGGCGUCGCCGAGGCUUCACUUACUUUCACGCUCCCUUGUUAAUUACUCCUCCACCUCCUCCACCACCUUCUUCAACUUCUCCGACGCAGAAGAAGAAGGCGACGACGACGACGACGGUCCAAACAUUCUCGGCGUAAAGCAGCAGGGAGCGGAGGGGCAGCGAGCCGACAUGGUGAAGAUCUUCGUGGGGAACCUGCCGCGCCCGACCACGGCCGAGGAGAUCCGCGCUCUCUUCGAGAAAUACGGUGACGUCAGCGAGUGUGACCUCAUCAAGAACUAUGGGUUUGUGCACAUGGACAACAAGGAGGCGGCGAAGGAGGCGAUCGAGCACCUGCACCACUACAAGCUGCACGGGGUCACCAUCAAUGUGGAGGCCAGCAAGAGCAUGACCAAGUCGUCCACCAAGCUACACGUGGGAAAGGUCAGCCCGCUCUGCACCAGCCAGGAUCUGCAGGCCAAGUUCGAGGAGUACGGGGCCGUGCUCGAGUGCGACAUCAUCAAGGACUACGCCUUCGUGCACAUGGAGAGGGGCGACGACGCCAUGGCCGCCAUCAAGGGGCUCGACGGCACCCAACUCAAAGGCAAGCGGAUCCACGUGGAGCUGUCCAAGAGCCGGCUGCGGGUGCAGCCAGGCAUGGGGGAGAAGAACACCUGCUUCCGCUGCGGAAAGGAUGGCCACUGGUCCAAGGAGUGUCCGACGGACCGUUCCGACGUGGGCAUGAGCAUUCCUGCCCACUACCUUGACGCUUACACCAUGUCGGGCCGGUACGGGGAGCAGGCGUUCUACGAUAGCCGCUACGUGGACUACUACGAGAAGUACCGGGCGGGGGCGUACGGGGCGGUGGGCACUCCCUACCCGGACCGCUGGGGCGCCCAACUGGGGGGCUACGGCGCCAGCCUGCGGGAGCGCAAGGCCCUGGAGGCCUACGGGCAGAGUGCCAUCUCCCAGCCGCCCACCUACUACGCCCGCGACCGCAGCCCGCUGCGCCGCUCCGUGGUCUCCAACGUCACCGACUACGCCACGGCGGCCACCGAGUAUGCGGCGGCAGCCACCGCCUCGGCCACGGCCAGCGACUACGCUGCCCAGGCCGCCAGCUACGCCGCCCAGGACUACGCCGGGGCCGGAUAUGCCGGAUACGCUGCCCAGUCGGCUGCCGCAGACUACGCCGGCGGCAGCUACACGGCCGCAGACUACGCCGGCGCCUACGGCUACGACUACUCCGGGGCAGCCUCCAACAGCGCGGGUUACGGCGCUGCCGGAGCCACCGCAGACGCCUACGUGGGACAGGCGCAGUACUCUGCCUACUAAUCACAGGAAGGAGAGGAGAAUGCAGGAGCUUCCCUGCCCCCACACACCUGCACUGUCGGACGGUGCCUCUCCUCCCACUGGCCGGGCUCGCUCCAGGUCUCCUCCCCGGCCAAACCCGCCUCCUGCUUCGAUAUCCCGUCUGCACCACUUUGUACAGACCUAUUUCUAACUUGUGUAUCCACCUACCUGCCUGCCUGCUGGAGAAACCAGCUCCUGUAGCCACCAGCGGAGACUGAACAGUAGCAACUCUCAGACUAGCUUCAGGUUGCGUCAUGUGUCGCCAUCCCCAGCAGCGCCGAGACUCGAGAGAUGGAAGUGCAGUUAGAGUGCGGAGGGGCCUGAAUCCGGCCUGGUGCUACCUGCUCCACCUGUGACAGACAUAGAGCUGGCUGGCUGUCGCCUGGAUGUGUUGAUCGCAGUCUGCAGUGUGAAGCUGCUUGUGUUUGCUGCCUCCUGGAGACAGAUUUGGUAAUACCUGUUGGUGAGACCGCGGCUGCUCCACACACAAACUCGGCUCGGACCUUGUGCAGAGUACCCACACCAUCGAGAUUUAGCACAGAGAACUCCGGGAACAAUACUAUCUGUAGAUGUGAAAUGUUGGUGUUUUUCUUUCAAAAAUACUAGCAGAAAAAAGUCGAUUUUCUUUCUAAUUCCCCCUCCCCCACCCACCCCAAUAUGAUCUGUGACUGUUCUGGGUUUUAUUUGAAGCUAUUUGUUACUCAUUUAAAAAAAAAUAAAGAUUUUUUUUUUGGUUUUCGUGUUGUUGGUAAAUGUUGUGUGGUGGUGGAAGUCUCUAUAAAAGGGAGCGACUCCUGAAUGUAGACCUGAUGGUGACCACAAAUCCCCCCCCCCCUCCCUGUAGCACCCUGCAAUAAACGAUGAGUAUUUGAACUGA